rnacentral:rRNA from 1 species
CGAGAGCCAGCGAGUACUGGCGCAAGCCUUCCUUGGCCGAAAGGUCCGGGUAAUCUUGGGAAACUCCGUCGUGCUGGGGAUAGUCCUUUGCAAUUAUCGGACUUGAACGAGGAAUUCCUAGUAAGCGCGGUUCAUCAGAUCGCGUUGAUUACGUCCCUGCCCUUUGUACACACCGCCCGUCGCUACUACCGAUUGAAUGGCUUAGUGAGGCCCUCGGAUUGGCGUAUUNCUGCCGGCAACGGCUGGUUAUAUGCCGAGAAGUUGGUCAAACUUGGUCAUUUAGAGGAAGUAAAAGUCGUAACAAGGUAUCCGUAGGUGAACCUGCGGAUGGAUCAUUAACGU